AACCUACGGGCGGCUGCAGUGGGGAAUUUUGGACAAUGGGCGAAAGCCUGAUCCAGCCAUGCCGCGUGCAGGAUGAAGGCCUUCGGGUUGUAAACUGCUUUUGUACGGAACGAAAAGACUCUUUCUAAUAAAGAGGGUCCAUGACGGUACCGUAAGAAUAAGCACCGGCUAACUACGUGCCAGCAGCCGCGGUAAUACGUAGGGUGCAAGCGUUAAUCGGAAUUACUGGGCGUAAAGCGUGCGCAGGCGGGUAUGUAAGACAGAGGUGAAAUCCCCGGGCUCAACCUGGGAACUGCAGUUGUGACUGCAUAGCUAGAGUACGGUAGAGGGGGAUGGAAUUCCGCGUGUAGCAGUGAAAUGCGUAGAUAUGCGGAGGAACACCGAUGGCGAAGGCAAUCCCCUGGACCUGUACUGACGCUCAUGCACGAAAGCGUGGGGAGCAAACAGGAUUAGAUACCCUGUAGUCGU
rnacentral:rRNA from 1 species